GCUUGAGCAUUUUCCUUAAACCAUUAACUUCUUAGAGGUAUGAGGUGGCAAACGAGAAAGAAAGAGAGGAAGACAUUACGUUUUCCACUACAGUUUUGUUAUGUAGGGAUUUAUUACAAAGAGAGUUGGGUUUCCUUUAAGAGUUAUUGAAACUGUUUUUUUUUUUUUUUUUUAGCAGUUCAUGUCCUGAACCAUUUCAGCCACGCCAGUGUCUGGCUCCUCUAGAAGGUUCUGAUUUGAAAAGCAUAUUGUACCCGAUUCACCAGGUGCAUGAUACUCAAGGAAGGAGGAAGGAAGACCCACUGGAUUCAUUGCAAGAGUGCGACUCACUGCCCACUUGCAAAGUCACGCAAGGGCAAACACGUCACCUUCAAGAUGAAGAAGGUCUUGUUCUUGCUUCUUUCACAUGAACUUCACAUCUAUGUACCUUUUACUUUUAAAAAGGGAACCCACCCCCAAUUUCUGAGCUAAAAUGUGCCCAAUAGGGAGAAUAUUUUAUUCGUUCAUGUUAUUUAGCAUGCUAUGAUCCUUAGGGAAUGUUUGCUGUCAUACAGUGCCAUGAGAUAUAGAAUAGCUCCAUAACAUUCCAUGCCCAUUUCAGACACUGAGAGGUGCACAAGAGUACACAUACACACAGGCAGAUUUUACUAGAAUGAAAUAGAGACAGUAUUGGAAAGGGAAGAACAUGACACGGUUUAUUUGAUGUGGUGACAAUUCACCUCAGGGAUGAUGAUCUUUAGCAUUGGUACCCAGAGCAGAAAUACUAAAUUGGCCAUUCUUCAAUGUUAUACUUUUCCUUCAGCAAUAAAGAUUAAUUAGGUGCCCAUUUAAAGCCCAGGGUUCUCUAUCACCUGCAGCAUAAAGCCCCUGCCCAGUCUGUUUCCCUUUCCAGCCUGAGCUAGAAGUACUUCAUCCCCGUACCAGAUGCUCCUAAGGGCACUGGCUUCCUAGGCUGUGCCUACAGCUGUGCUCACAUCUGUCCCCAACCUGCCCUCUGCUCCCCCUCCAGUACCUCGUCUCUUCCUCAUCAGCAAUUCUCACCCUUCUCCAUCCUGUGGAAAGCGAAUCUGACAGAAUCUAUUCUCUUUCUCUCCUGGUCUGUUAUUAUAUUAGAGCUAACUGCUUUCCUGUUUGUCUUCCUUGAGGGAAGGUCAUGGGCAGCCUGGGCUCUACUGUUGGGUCAUUAUUGACAAUAUGUGUCAGUAAAAGGAGUAAGCAGUUCAACAAUAUAUGUCUACACAUAGGUGACUUCAAAUCUUUUUCAGAAGCAGGGAGGAUACAGAGAAUAAGGAGGCUGGGGCUCUCCCAGCUCCUGCGCAGCCCAUUGGAGUCUCUGCUUAAAACUCGUAGCUGACAUUUUUUCCUACUUCAAUGAUGAAGGAAAAGUAGCUUCAAAUUUGGAAACCAAUUCUGCCUUCGUUCCACCAUCCCCUAAUCUCCUAUUGCACACGUUAUUGUCUUAGUUGUCCACAUCUUGACCGAGCUGGGCCUGCUCUCUUGCCUAUUCUAAAGGCCCCUUAACGACUACAUAACCACACCCAACGCAAUUAUAGGAAGGCAAAGAAAUAAGUUGCAAAACCAUUCCAGGCCCACUGCUCACCUAAGGCUGGCAUAGAAGACUAGCCUGGUUUGGCAACUGGGACAGGAAAGCACGCACAGGCCACACCCCAGGGGUUCUCGAUGGACGAGAGAAUUUCAAUUUUCUCAGGGGACAAAUCAGCAUCCCUCUAGGAUGCUGAUAUCAAGAGGACCACUGCCCUUCUGAUAGAAGCUUUCUCUUAGCAUUUUUUAUCAUUCCCUUCUCAACUCUGACCAUGUUCAAAACUCCAUUCUUCUUUGGCUUUAAAUUCACUUGCCUGGUCAUCUUUCUACCCUGCCCAGGUCUUUUUCCAGCUCCCAUGCAUGGUGUGUCUAUGCACAGAGACUCCGAAUCUGUCUUCAUCUAACCCCUGGGCCAGGAGUUUCAACUCUACUCUAGCCCUACCUUUCCCAGGAACCCAAAACCUGUCACAGCACUCACUACUACAGCUGCCAAUUAACACCAACAAAACCAUGUCCCAGGUUCCCUUCACGAGUCUCCUCCUCACCAGAUUUCCUGACCUCUUCAAGAGAACCAACAUCUUCAAGAACUCUAGCAACAAGAACCUGGUUCCUUUCCUCAGGGCCCUUCAACACACAAGCAUAUGAGUCCUUCACAUAUUUACAAUGUAGCCUGAGUCCUUCCGCAUCUCCCAUUUCAUCUAAGCAGUGUGAAUUCUCACCUACACCACUUCCCUAACUCAUCUUGUCCUCUAUAGAGCAGGCAGAGGAAACUUUCCAAAGGCAAAGCAGACAGCAUCAUUCCCCUAUGUUAGAAAGCCAGGCACUUCCUACCAAGCUUAAGGGAAAACUCAACUGGCUUCUUCAGACUUACAGCUUGGCCCUACAGGUCCUUUUCCUCUACCCUCUCAGGAAGCUGCAUCCACAGCAUCCUUCCCUGCAUUGCUUGUGGCAUGAGGCCUUCUCAACAGUCAGUUCUAGCUCACACACCUAUCAUUCUCAGAAACUGAACUCUCUCUCACUGCUGGAUUUUCCUCACAUCACUUGUCUUUGACAUAUUUAUGGUACAUCAUGAACCUCAGGCUCUGUACCCACUAUGACAUCGGUUUCUUAGGAGCACAGACCUUCUCUGUUCCAUUUGUUAAGGACCCUUGAUGGCCAGGAGAUCCUCAGCAUCACCUCUUGAGAUGAAGGUUGUAUGACCAUCAGGCUACAUGCACAGCUGAAGAUGUAUGGUCCAGGGCUCCUCUCCUACUUCUUCAUUGUGUCUACGCACACACUCACACACACACUCUCACACUUACACACACAUACAUGCACAUAUAUAAACAAAUGACCAUAAGUAUGAACAAAUAUAUGUAUGUAUUUGAAUUAUAUUUUCCACGAACACCUCCACUAGCUGAUUAUAGGAGAUAAUCUUUGUAUUUACUUGGAAUUUCCACGUUGCAUAAUAUUUCAUAAUAGGUGUGCAAUAAAAAUAUUCCCUCUGCCAAGGAAUCACACAGUAUGUCGCAAGAGAAGUAUUAGAAGCUUCCCUGUCCUUUUCAUUGGCGUUAUAAUGACUACGCACUCAUCAUCUUCUCUGUACCUGACAUCCCUCACUUCUGUUACACUGGUGCAAAGUUGGGGACCAAGGGCUGGUGAGAUGGCUGGGGAGGGGAAGGCACACGCUACCAAGUCUGAUACAAAGAGUUCGAUCCCAGGGACACACAAGGUGGAGAAAGCUGACUUAUGCAAGCUGGUCUCUGUCUCUGUCUCAUAAACACACACACACACACACACACACACACACACACACACAUUGCAAAAAACAGGACUCAGAGGGGCUCUGUAAAUGGACCCAAGCCUCUGAAAACAAAUAUUAAAGCAGCAAGUAGCACAACUGCACCACAUGUGUGGAAGAAACAGAAUGAUGCGGGGAAGGGCUGAAGCCAGGCGAUGCUGCGUCUUUGUACUAAGUGUCUGUGUGCACCCAGUGCUACCCCCAAGGGCCAAAAGGAAGGCUAAAGGAGAUGAAGACAAGGUGUAGGACAAGAUACAUACAAGAUCUGAAGGUUUGUCUGCUAAUCAUGCUCCCCCAAAGCCAAAGCCCAGGCCUAAGGGGGGUGGGAGAGAAUGGAUGCUUCAAGGACAGCAAGAACCCUGUAGAAAACAGGGCUAAGGCAAUGGUUCAGCAGCUAGAGCUGACUGUUCUUCCAGAUGGCCUAGGGUUCGAUCCCAGCCCCAACCUGGUGGCUCACGUGGUGGUCUGUAAUUCUGGUUCCGGAAGAUCCACUGUCCUUAUCUUCAUGGACACUUUCUGCAUGUGUGCACAGACACAUACACAGGCAAAACAGGUAUACAUAUAAAACAAGAAUAAAUUAAAAACAAAACGGUGAUGCCAGACAGAGCAAGCACAGGAAGCUGAAGAUACUCACGGCAGCCUGUGCGCUUUUGAUGAGUGUGGAUGUCUGGGGUAUGUAGAGUUUAGAAUACCAGUUUUCAUCCAGUUUUAUAAAAAUGUAGGAUUUUGUUUGUGUUCUUUAAAGCUACAUUGUUAGCAUACAGAAUACAUCAGUGGUCUUUAGGGAAGAAAUAUAUCUCACUAAAGGAAUGUCUCCCCGGGCUGGAGAGAUGACUCAGCAGUUAAGACCACUGGCUGCUCUUCUACAGGACCUGGGUUCAAUUCCCAGCAACCACAUGGUGGCUCACAACUGUCUGUAACUCCAGUUCUAGGGAAUCCCACAUCCCUACACUUCACAUGCAGGCAAAUACCAAUGCGCAUGUGAUAAAAAUAAAUUAUUAAAAAAAGAAUGUUUCCUGAGCUGAAUUGAUGUGAGAAAAAAAAAUACCCUUUUCUUCCAGUUGGAGAUCCUUCCUGAUUUCUAGGGACUCCCCUGGUGUUGACACGCAAGGCUACCUUGGUAAAAAAAAACGCCUCGUAUAUGAGAAAACUCUUUCACAUUGUCUUCCUCAUCUACCACCAACACAGACUUUCCUCCCUGAAAACUUUGAAGACCUUCUGGGACUCACCCUCUAAACCUGAUUCUGUCAGGUGACCUGGUCUCUGCGGUGACAUCCCUGAGAUGGUGUCCCUCAAAAGAGCAGCGGUUCCUUUUCUAAAAGGUCGAGGCUUUUCAAAUGGACCAGUCUGCCAAUUUCAUUCCACGUCAGGAAUCGGCUUGUGAAAAGCUGUUAAACAACGUUCUCAGCCUUCGCCCUAAAUGUUCCCUGUACAAAGCAUUGCACAGAGAUAUCCGUUGAAGUAAUUUUGUGGGAGAUUUCUGCCUCUCUCUGGCCCACAUAGCUCCUGAAUAAAAGACACAGAAACCUGGCAUUUUUGUGAACAAGCGGUAAGCCUAGACUAGGCAGGUUCUGAUCUAUUCUAAUCUACAUCCCAGCCACAGGCUCCGUGGUACUUGCUGUUUGAGUCUCCCAUGGCUUGCUCUGUUCUAUGUGUGUCCUCAGGAUGAGCUUUUCUUGGCCUUGUGCUCUUGGUCUAUCCUUCCUCAUGGUGACCUUCUUUCCCUCUUCUUCCUUCUCUCUUGUGGUCCCCUUGGGAUCCCUCAACUUGAUUGAAAUAAAAUUCUGCCUUCCUGUCCUCUCUGCCUAGUCAUAGGUCCAGCCUUUUAUUAGUCAACCAGGAAUUAUUAGGGAACAUUCUUUAGAGCAUAUUGGUUAAUACACUACCCCAAGGUCAGGUUGCAGUCUGGACAGGGGCACAGAACUCAGUGUCUGAAUACACAGCAUAGAAGACUAUCCCCCAGGCUGGAGAGAUGGCUCAGUGGUUAGGAGCACUGACUGCUCUUCCAGAGGUCCUGAGUUCAAUUCCCAGCAACCACAUGUUGGCUCACAACCAUCUGUAAUGGGAUCUGGUGCCCUCUUCUGGUGUGUCUGAGGACAGCUACAGUGUACUUAUAUAUAAUAAAUAAAUAAAUAAAUAAAUAAAUAAAUAAAUAAAUAAUAAAUCUUUUUUUCUUUUUUUCGGAGCUGGGGACCGAACCCAGGGCCUUGCGCCAACCCAAUAAAUCUUUUUUUAAAAAAAAGACUAACCCCAACAGAUAUUACUGGGUUUUAUGGUAGUGAGGCCAUACAAGAAGGGAGGUUGGAAGUUAAUGACUAUGUCCUGACUGAAAAGCAAUGAUUAUUAUGAAAAAUACCUUUAAGAAACCUCUGGUGUUGGGGUUGGGGAUUUAGCUCAGUGGUAGAGCGCUUGCCUAGCAAGCACAAGGCCCUGGGUUCGGUCUCCAGCUCCAAAAUAAAAAAAUAAAAAGAAACCUCUGGUGUUGGCACAGGAGGCAGAAGCUGGAGUUUGAGGUCAGAGGGGGCUACAGAAUGAGCUCCAGGACAGAUAAGGCUUGAAAAACAAAAACAAGCAAAGAAACCUAGAUACAGAUUGUCUCAGAAAAAAAAAUGUUUCUUACAAAGGGAAGGUUGUUCAAAAGGUUAGAGUGAGGGGACUGGAUUGCUUAGUAACCUUCAAUUCAACUCUAAUACAGCCUCAUUUAAAAAAAAAGAUUUAUUUGUUAUAUAUAAGUACACUGUAGCUGUCUUCAGACACACCAGAAGAGGACAUCAGAUCUCAUCACAGAUGACUGUGAGCCACCAUGUGGUUGCUGGGAUUUGAACUCAGGACCUUUGGAAAAACAGUCAGUGAUCUUAACCACUGAGCCAUCUCUCCAUAAUACAGCCUCUUAAAUUCCAGCUUCUGUCAAAGGCAGGGCAAUAAGGUCCAGUCACAUAUGGCUAGGUGCAAGCCUAGAGAAAAAGGACCUCAGAGCUGAGUGACUGACAGUGACUAAGACCUCCCAGGCAGCAUCUACACCUUAGGUUGUUACCAGGGAUCUUAUCCACGAGUUAUUAACCACAGACAUUUUUCCAAAUCUGUUUACUGAAGAUGCUACAUGCAGGUGUGUAGAGCACAUGACAAAUUGAUUGGUAACUGAAGGACUGGACCAUUGAACUAUGUCUCCUUCCCAUGCAAUGAUACCAGUCUCAUGGUCAAAGCAAAACUUAUCACCAAGAACAUUAAAGAAAAAUGCUAUAUAAAUGGUAUGUGUUCAAACAAAAGCCACAAAUCUCUGAUGAAUGGGACAGCACUCCUAAAUUCAUAUUUUCCUGUACUUUAGAUUGGCAUUGAAAUGAAAUCUAACUAGACAGUGAGCUCGGUACACUCGGGCAAAUUCAUCGCCAGUGAAAGGGCACGGGGCUCCAACAGAGGUUGUAGGUAGGCAACCUCCUUUGAACAAAUUGCAGAUAGGCGCUUUAAUGAUGGAGAAAAUGUGAGCUAACAUAACUGCAGUCAAAUCAGUUCCUACAGGAGGCAAAGUGCAUUAACUCAAGUGAUGAUAUCAGCCACCAAAAUACCAGCCGGGGAGAACAAGAGGCUGUCAAAGAAAGACGCUGCUGCCUUGCCAACACAGCCCAGGGACAGGCUUCACUGCAAUAUGACAGUCUCAAGGGGAGCACAGGUUUUCUUUCUAAAUGUCAGCUCUCUAAGUGAUUUUUAUUGAUGUCUUUUUCUUCUUCUUUUUUUUUUUCUUCUUGACUCUCUAGUUAUCCCUGACUACCAACAGGAGAUCCCACUUGCUUAUGGUGAUGGCUACAGAUGUCCUCACCUUGAUAAAUAAUAGAAAUUUCCCGUCAGCCUCAACUACACUUUCAUGACUACGUAAUACGGGCAAUAGUGUCCAGACCAAUUCGUAUCACUCAAGUGCCUUGCUAAACAAUCCUUCAGGCAAGGGGGAUCCUUUACUGGGUCCUCAGUAGAAUCGGUUUUAGUGUCCCGACAUAAAAGAAGCGGGAGCUGUUAAGAGGCCAGAGCAUGCUUUCACAAAUAUCUAUCCAACAGUUCAGAAUGGAAAGUGGCUGACGGUGAGAAGAGAAAGAAUGUCUCGCCAACUGUGGUGGUUUGAACAUUAUUGGCUCAUGGGAAGUACUAUCAUAAGGCGGUGUGGUCUUGGAGGAAGUAUAUCACUAUGGGGGUGCUUUGAGGCCCUAUGCUCAAGCUCCAUCCAGUGCAGAAGAGCCCCUUCUCCUGGCUGCCUGCCUGUAGAAGACAGUCUCUUCCCGGCUGCCUUUGGAUCAAUAUGUAGAACUCUCAGCUCCCCCAGCACCAUGUCUGCCUGCACGCUGCCAGGCUUCCCACCAUGAAGGUAAUGGACUGAACCUCUGAAACUAUAAGCCAGCCCCAGUGAAAUGCUUUCCUUUGUAAGAACUGCCUUGAUGUCUGUUCACAGCAAUAAAAACCAAGAUACCAACCAGAGACUAAGAGUGUGUAAGGUCACAGAAGAGACCAGACUCUGGCCUUGCCAUUCUCUACUUUAAAAACUCUUUUUGCAAGUCAUUUUCCUCCUUUUGAAAGCAGCUUCCUCUUCUCUAUGAUGGAGAUACUCCUGUUACGUGAGUCUACCUGUUCUAUCCUCUUGAAGUUGAGACCUCAAAUCGCUUUGAGGGCUGCCUCAAACACCACAAACAAACAACUGGGUGGAGUUCAAAUAAACAAACAGUAAGAAACAACCUUGUUGGGCUUUCCUGGGAUUUGCAUUAGAACUAGUAUGUGGCGAGAGUCUCUGAACUGGAGAGCACUUCACAAUUACGGAGCCAAAUUGACUUUGGCAGAGCCUUGGAGUGCAUCGUGCCUCUCUGGGAGCGGUGCCACUCGGCAGUGCCCAGAAUCUAAGUGGGUCAGAGAAUCUCUCUGGAGAACUGAAACCCCAGAUUUCAAUAGGGAGAAAAAAAAUUAAGCCUGGCCCAAGUCUGCAUCUCCUCUUAACCACAUGAAUUAAUUCAUGGCAUGAUAGGCAUAUGCUCUUUACACAUAGUGAUGUGGGAAUGACUUCUAGAACAUUCUCUGGACAUCUCUGAAAAAUAUGACGGGACUUUUAUCACAGGUAAAAUUCCUCAGGUUCCUAGUGGGCAUCUCAGUGCUGAUUUGGGAAGACAGUGUACAGAGUGAAUGCUACACGGGUAUGUGAAGAGUCACUCUCUCCCUGCCAUUGCCACAGGAAAUAUUUCUGGGUUAAAAAAAAAAAAAACAACAACUAGUUUUUAGCCCCUCAGUCCAAAAUGGAGCCUCAGAACCCUUCUCAACACAGAGUCCCCAGUGGAUCCCUCAAAGAGGCAAUCAAAGAGAAGCAUCUAACACCAGUGGUCCUUAGAAUGAAGAGUAACUUAUGUACACUCCUGUGUCUUUCCGAAACAUUUUUCUACUUUCAAAGGAUAAACACUAUUACAUAGUUUUAUUUCUCAAAUCAAUAUACUCCACUCUUCCCUUACAUUUUAUGCAUAGCUCACACUAAGAAGCUUAAAAAUAAGCAGUGUUCACAAGCCCCACAUUCUGUUACAAGGUAUACGGGAAGACAACGGAUUCCAACCUUUGGUGUAAGGAAUUUUAGAACCAAAGAAUAUCCCCCAUGCUCGUGCGCACAGAUCGUGAGUGUCAGCCAAGUGCUAUUUAGUGCAGGCUAUCAUUUUUUGAGAAACUACAAAAUGGUACCACCAUGCUAACAGCCUGGCCAAAAGACACCCUACAAUCCAUCUCCUUGUGUUAGAAGAUGGUGCUGUCUGUAGAAUCCCUUGGGUUGAGGCAGACGCUUCUCCUCAACUCACCUGAACAGAGCCUUCGUGGUGGAACCGUGGGCUACUCGAAGCUUAGAAAUUGCUAUGCGGAAGACACAGCAAAGCAUGAUGUGUAUAGAAUCCUCGACGUUCUAGCCCUCUAUCAGGUCACUGGGGAAAAGCAGUGUCUUUAGACAUGAAUACAGGACUUAGACUUUUCAAUGUGCCACUGUAGCAAGGACUAUGUUACAUGACGCUGUCAUGUUUUCUGAUGACUGCCCGGGGCCAUUCAUCAUUAACUUAAACAUUUCUCAGAAAUGAAGAAAAGACACAGAGAAGGCCUGGUGUGGUGGUGUGUGUCUGUAAUCCCAGUACUUGGGAGGCAGAGGCCGGCAGAAGUCCAAUGUUACUCUGUCCGACAUAGUGAGUUCUAGGCCAUCCAGAGCUGUGCACUGAGACCCUAUCUUUAAAAAGGAGAAAGUAGCAGGGCCCUGAAACCAAAACGUUUUCUUUCAUUGGAGAGAUCAAUUAUGCUUUGCUGUACCCCUAAACAACAGAGACUCUCAGUGAAAUACUGACAUUAGGAAUCUUACUCAACUGUCAAAAUAUAUCCUGGAUAAAAAUCUGAGUUUUUGCACACCUUCAUCUUAACUAAAUUAAUCUUUUCUAUAUAAAUAUUUAUUUCUGUGGGUCCAAGAUUUAAAUAUAACUCAGUCAUCUAUUGUGAUGGAGCUGGCUAUGGCUACCAGGGUAGCCUUGGCACACAGGACAUUGACCUGUGCCAGAUGGGUCUAUCUGAAGUGCUUGACAGCUAGUCAGUUAUUUACAUCUGGCUGUCCAGAUGUGAUUCAGAAGUGAUGAAACCAAUUUUUUUGUAUCUAAAUAGAAUUUCACACCCAGCCAAGUGUCUUGAAUAGGAGAACAUUUUUCUCUUCAAAUGACUUCAACACACACACACACACACACACACACACACACACACACACACACCCCUCACCACCAUCACAGUGCAUGACAAUGAUUUAUCCUCGACAAAUUAAAGAGGACAACACUCCACAGAGUAUGCUGUACAAUGCAUAACAAAUGCCUAUAUUCAUAUUCUGUAGGCUGUCCUGAGCUGAAUGCGGUCUAAAUAUCACAUUCUCACACUCUUUAUGGCUUUGCAUGCUGCGGGGGUUAGCUGAGUUUUUAACAACUGUUUCUCACGAAGCCGGAAGACAUUCUUUGGCCUUGUCUGCAGUGCGCUUGCCAAAUGAGUAGAUUACUGCCGGGAAGUCCAGUAUCUCAGGUAUGGAAAUCAAGUCAACCGGGUGUAUUAGCAACUCUAAAAGCCACAGGACCCAGUAGUUCAAUGGUAGGAUAGUUUAACAGCUCAAUCUUAAGAGGAGAGAAUACAAAUACUUAUAGCCCUGGACCCACAACUGGGAAUCCUUUUCUUGUUGUGGGAUGUGUCCAGGGGAGUCGAGAAGGUAGAGGCAACCGCUGGAGCUCUGGUCAUCUGAAUCCUUCAUUAAGUUCAGAGCAUUGGGCUUACUUCCCUGCUGAUUUCAGCUAAUACCUGUUCCUGCCCGACCCCUUCCUACUCCAAAUCUAAACCAUGGAACAAUGGAGUAGCAGAGUCUUGUAGAGCAUCUGCCUUUUGACUGGUAAUUUGAAAUGGGCCAGCAGAUCUCUGCUGAGGCCUCCCUAUCUUCCUUUGUUCUUAGAGUAUUACCCCACCAAGCCGUUGUGCCAGAACAUUUCUAUUUGGUCUGCCCAGCGGUCACAGGACUCGAGUCACUCAAAGGGACACCAGCAUCUAUCCUCAAAGCUGAUUUCUAUCUCUUCUGUCUGCAAGCCACCAUUCUCCCAGGCUGUGAUGCCAUGUCUCCGUGGGGUCAGUUAACUUCCCCUAAAGAAUCGAUUUCACAGGGCACGGGAACCUCAGCGUGGCUGGGGACUAAACCCUUCCCGUCUCCAUAUGCACCCAGAGCUAAGGCUGUCCCACAGCUCUUUGGACCUAAAACCUGCUUGCAGAGAGCUGGCCUGUCAGGAGCUCUCACUCCUAAGCCCACAGGUGAGACCCUGCUUUGUCUCCAUUGACUAUCCAAAGAGAGACCCGCAGGGAACCACAGGGCAGGCUGGGACAGAAAAAAAACCCCCUCAGCUGUGAACAACACAGCAAUGGUCAAGAUUAAGGCUUGGGACCGGCGUGGCAAGAAGAAGGAGGAGCUGUUGAAACAACUAGAUGAUCGGAAGGUGGAACUGUCCCAGCUUCCCGGGGCCAAAGUGACAGGCAGCGCCACAUCCAAGCUCUCCAAGAUAUGAGUUGUACGCAAAUCCCAUCACCCGUGUCCUCUCUGUCAUUAAUCAGACCGAAAAGGAAAACCUUAGGAAAUUCUACAAGGGAAAGAAGUUCAAGCGACCCAAGAACCUGCGACCCAAGAAGACGAGCCAUGCAGCGCUGGCUCACCAAGCAGGAAACUGAAGACCAAGAAGUAGCAGCUGAAGGAGCGGCUGUACCCACUGCCCAAGUCACAGUCAAGGCCUGAGAUGACGACAGUGACAAUAAAGUGCAAGACUGACAAACAAAACAAAACAAAACAAAACCAGACAGUAUAUAGUUUAAUCUCACUCUUCAUUUUCUAUGAAGAUCCCUUUUAUUUGCUUGUAGCAUUAUAGAAAUUCUUCAAGAUAGGGCUUGUUCUCUAUCCCUGAACACGUGCCAGCAAUCCUUUCAUAUCUGUUCUUCCAUUCACCCCCAAGGAUGCUCUCUCCUUUCUACACACUCCCUAGACAUCCUCCAUAGAUAGGGUCAAAUCCAGCUCCUGAAUUAGAUAUCCUCUGGUGACACCACUCAUGUGACAUUCAUAAUGUAACUCGGUUGCCUGAAGUUUUCCACACUCGGAACACUCUUCGCACUUCUCCCCUGGCAAUUGAGUGAGGGAAACAGUGCACUAUCUGCCCGACUGACUGACAUAUUUUAGCUUACAAGGUUUAGAAAGGCCUGUUUUAGGUGCUAACUUCUCUUGGUAGACAUGAGUCUCCUUCCUACAGUUCACCCGAGGGCUUCCCAACCUUGGAUGUGCUAAAGCAAGUGUAUGGCUUCUAGAGGGAGGAACAGAAUAGAGGGUUUCAUUGUAUUUAGCUGAGAAGAUUAUCUGUGAGUCUAGCACUCUCACAGGAUUCCAAUAACUGCAAGAUAAAACUUUCAUUUUCAUCCACAAUCACACUUACAAAGUGGUCGAGUAAAACCAUGUCUCAAAUAGCGUAAAAAUUUGUAUAUGUGUGACUUUAGAGUAACAUAUUAUCUGAAUAAAUACAGAAAACACUAACAAAAUAUACUUUAGAAACAAAAUAGAAACAAAGUGUCUUAGGAAGUUGGAACUUUAGUGGGUUCUGAGUUCAGUGUUCCAGUUCCGUCACUUCUGUUUCUUAAGAUGCUGCUGUAAGGGAGAAAUCAGUCCUAUGCAUUAAACACUGCAUUCUCUCCUUCCACUGUGCAGACGAGAGGCACAGCACGUGACUGGUAUUGCCGUACCUGCCUAUCACACAUCAGCUGUGUAGCUUCUCUGGCUGGUUUUCCAGAUAUAUCUGAGACUCCCUGAGGGAGAGAUGGAGUUCUUCCAGUAUUCACUCCCAAGAGUACUGUGCAUAGCUCUCAGAACACAGGGGCUGCAGAGUAACUUAGGGAACAUGAAGGCUCGCCCCAUCAGCGAGCCAGACCUUCUGUUCGGAGAAGCUGGAGAGGAAGAAUUGUAUCAUUAAUGCUCCACUGUCAACUGCCAAGUGCUUGAGUAGCAUUUGUAAUGUAUGGUUAGUAACGGUUCCGAGUAACCCCAAAAGACAGAGUCAGGGAGCUACUCAAAAUUGCAGUGGACUUCCCCCGAGUGGCUAUGCGCCUUUACAGUCUGCCGAUUCAUCUCCUCCACAGAUAAUCUGGAGAAGCUUGAUGUGGGCUGGCAAUAUGGGUCAACUCAUUCAUCCUCACAAUGGGCCUUUGUCAACAUUGUGGUAGGUACCGCACACUGAGGACCAGGCAUUAAACAAAACAAGCAAGUCCCUGCGAACCUGGAUGUCCUGUUCUUUUGGAAACAAUCAACAACAGGAACAACAAAUGGUAUGCGGUAGGUGAAACUAUUCACGCAGGAAGUGUCAUGAAGCACUGAGCGGUGGUGGGGGUUGGCGGGGAGGGCGAUGAGCUCAGGCUGUAGGGGAAUGCUGUUCUGUUGCAGUAACAUUUAGUACAGACAGCAGGGGAGAGGACCAUGUGGGCACUGGGUGGGUGUUCCUUUAGCUGUUGCGGACAGCUAGAACAUCAUGUUGUGUUCAAAAACUAGGACACUCAAAGACUAAUAGGGUCAUGUCAGAAGGACCCAGAAUCAGCUUAAAAGGCUUCCCGCUGACGAAUCUUAGGACAGUGUGACAGCCCAAAAGAGGCACGAUGGUUGUGAAUUAUUAUAUGCCAAGUAGAUGUUUGUUUUCUAUUCCUGGUUUUAAAAAUGUAUGAGUCAACAGUAACAUGUCUGAAAUUGAGAGAGAAAGAGAGAAAGUUCCUUAGCUGACAGAUUAGUGACAGUAUUAGAAACUUGCGACAAAUUUCAGUACAAAACUCAUCCAAUCAGGGUCAUUGAUGAAUGUAAAAGCCAGUGUAGGUAAUUUUGUUGGUAGAAAUAUAUUCACAUGAGAUCAAAAUAUUACCCCAGGCAGGGUUUAGUAAGCAAAAGGGACAUGACUGUAGGGAACUUUAGACACAGGGCUUCAGGCCUCUUGCUUAAGGCUAUAAUAGAGCAUCAUCAGCUGUCAUUGCUAGGUACUGGGCUUCAGGCUUCAUGGUAAAGAAUAAUUCUACCCC